rnacentral:rRNA from 1 species
UACAGAGGGUGCGAGGGUUGUUCGGAAUUAUUGGGCGUAAAGCGCUUGUAGGCGGCUUGUUAAGUUCCGUGUGAAAUCCCCAGGCUUAACCUGGGAACUGCAUCCGAUACUGGAUGGCUUGAAUCCGGGAGAGGGAUGCAGAAUUCCAGGUGUAGCGGUGAAAUGCGUAGAUAUCUGGAGGAAUACCGGUGGCGAAGGCGGCAUCCUGGACCGGCAUUGACGCUGAGGAACGAAAGCUAGGGGAGCAAACGGG